AGCAGUGGGAGCCUCUUUAUGGGGUGACUGCGUACCUUUUGUAUAAUGGGUCAGCGACUUAUAUUCUGUAGCAAGGUUAACCGAAUAGGGGAGCCGAAGGGAAACCGAGUCUUAACUGGGCGUUAAGUUGCAGGGUAUAGACCCGAAACCCGGUGAUCUAGCCAUGGGCAGGUUGAAGGUUGGGUAACACUAACUGGAGGACCGAACCGACUAAUGUUGAAAAAUUAGCGGAUGACUUGUGGCUGGGGGUGAAAGGCCAAUCAAACCGGGAGAUAGCUGGUUCUCCCCGAAAGCUAUUUAGGUAGCGCCUCGUGAAUUCAUCUCCGGGGGUAGAGCACUGUUUCGGCAAGGGGGUCAUCCCGACUUACCAACCCGAUGCAAACU
rnacentral:rRNA from 1 species